CAUCUCUGGUGUUUUACUGACCCCUGCUGGGCGACCCCGUGCAUCUCCAAAAAGGAGGAGGAGAAGAAGACGAGUGAGGAAGAGGUAGUAGUAGAAGAAGAAGUGUUCUCCGUCACUUCCGGAUAAAUGAACGCACAGCGGACUGGAUGAGUGUGUGUUCGUGUGUGUGCAGGCGUCGAGAUGAAAAGGACCGCAGGGAUGAGGCCCGUGCUGCUCAGACCCCCCGACUGACGUCUGCUGCUCAGUGACACCAGGAGUGGUGAAGAAGGCAAAAGAAAUGCCUCUGAAAGUGGUGCUGAUGGGUGGAGAAGUCCGACAUGUCGAAGGUCUCGAGCGAGGCCAAGUGACUUCACAGCUUCCAGUCGGCGUCGGUGAAAGAGUUUGUCUGUAAUCUUGUCGAUGCUGUGAAACCAGAGCGCACAGCAAACGUCAGGGUUUCACCGAUACGACGGGACUUUGAUGCAGAUUUAAUCUGAAUGAAAACCAGUUCGUCUGCCAAGAGGAUUAAAGAUCAUAUAUGGACCUCUGACCUUCAGAUGAGCUGUACACCUACAGCGUUUGCAUCUGUGUCCACAGUAAGAUUUGUUGAGGGUGAAACCAUGUGUACAGUGAUGAGAAACGUAAAAAUAAACUUUAAACACA